rnacentral:rRNA from 1 species
UACAGAGGGGGCAAGCGUUUAUUCGGAAUUAUUGGGCGUAAAGGGCGCGUAGGCGGCUUGGCAAGUGGAUGGUGAAAUCCCUCGGCUUAACCGAGGAACUGCCGUCCAAACUGCUUUGCUUGAGGCCGGGAGAGGCGAGUGGAAUUCCCAGUGUAGCGGUGAAAUGCGUAGAUAUGGGGAGGAACACCGUGGCGGAGGACGGCCGACCUGGACGUGGACCGUU